AGAGUUUGAUCCUGGCUCAGAGUGAACGCUGGCGGCGUGCUUAACACAUGCAAGUCGAACGAUGAAGAAGAGCUUGCUCUUUGGAUUAGUGGCGCACGGGUGAGUAAUAUAUAGUUAAUGUACCUUCAAGACCGGGAUAGCCAUUGGAAACGAUGAUUAAUACUGGAUAUACCUUCUCUACUUAAGUAGAGUCGGGAAACGUUUUUUCGCUUGAAGAUCAGACUAUAUCCCAUCAGCUUGUUGGUGAGGUAAGAGCUCACCAAGGCAAUGACGGGUAGCGGGUUUGAGAGGAUGAUCCGCCACACUGGUACUGAGACACGAACCAGACUCCUACGGGAGGCAGCAGUGAGGAAUAUUGCACAAUGGGGGAAACCCUGAUGCAGCAACGCCGCGUGGAGGAUGACGCAUUUCGGUGUGUAAACUCCUUUUAUGAGUCAAGAAAAUGACGGUAGCUCAUGAAUAAGCACCGGCUAACUCCGUGCCAGCAGCCGCGGUAAUACGGAGGGUGCAAGCGUUACUCGGAAUCACUGGGCGUAAAGGACGCGUAGGCGGGUUGGUAAGUCAGAUGUGAAAUCCUACAGCUCAACUGUAGAACUGCAUUUGAAGCUACUAACCUAGAGUAUGGGAGGGGGAGAUGGAAUUAGUGGUGUAGGGGGUAAAAUCCGUAGAUAUCACUAGGAAUACCUAAAGCGAAGGCGAUCUCCUGGAACAUUACUGACGCUAAGGCGUGAAAGCGUGGGGAGCAAACGGGAUUAGAUACCCCGGUAGUCCACGCCCUAAACGAUGAACACUAGUCGUCGGGAUGCUUGUCAUCUCGGUGAUGCACUUAACAGAUUAAGUGUUCCGCCUGGGGAGUACGGUCGCAAGAUUAAAACUCAAAGGAAUAGACGGGGACCCGCACAAGUGGUGGAGCAUGUGGUUUAAUUCGAAGAUACGCGAAGAACCUUACCUAGCCUUGACAUUGAUAGAACACACCAGAGAUGGAGUGGUGCCCUUCGGGGAACUUGAAAACAGGUGCUGCACGGCUGUCGUCAGCUCGUGUCGUGAGAUGUUGGGUUAAAUCCCGCAACGAGCGCAACCCUCGUCCUUAGUU
rnacentral:rRNA from 1 species